AUCGCUUCUCGGCCUUUUAAGCUAAGAUCAAGUGUAAGUAUCUGUUCUUAUCAGUUUAAUGUCUGAUAUCCUCUAUAUGGGGACUACAUAUUAAGCAGAUUUUUGGCAUGAGGGGCAGAAAUUUGGAGCUUGCUCCUUUCUCUCCACGCAUCAACCCUAGUACAGUGCCCGCUAGGAGCAGUUGCACUCCUG